GCCUGCGCUUGCGCUCUGGCACGGGGGUGGGGCUCAUACCCUCGCUGGCCACACCCCGCCACGCCCCCGAAAGAAUCCAGAGUGGGCAAGGAGUCUGCAGGCUCAGAUUCGGGGAGACAUACUCCUUUGUGUCCCCAAGAACCUAUCAAAUGUCACAUUCUCUUUGGAGCCUUCUGAGGCGCCAGUCAUGUUCAGUGCGCUGAGCGCCCCCCCCAUGACCAUGACCCCCAGAACCAUGUAUUUGCUAUUUCAUUGAACUAGAGGCGAUGAAAAGUUGACAGAAGGGAUCCCUUCUGUGUAGAAGCAAACUACAUGAAGGGAUUGUACAGGAAAAUAAUUCUGAUCUGCCCAGAGAGAAUGCACACUGCUAUUGUAUUGGCAGUCCGCAGGAAACCUUGACUUUACUGCUUCCUAGAGGAGGAUUCUGCCUUCAGCUCCACCUGAACCAGCUGAUUCUUCCUUCG